GUGCCAGCCGCCGCGGUAAUACGAAUGGGGCAAGCGUUGUUCGGAUUUACUGGGCGUAAAGCGGGCGUAGGCGGCCGGCUAAGUCGGAUGUGAAAUCCCGGGGCUCAACUCCGGAACUGCAUUCGAUACUGGUCGGCUAGAGUUCGAGAGGGGGAUGCGGAAUUCCGCGUGUAGCAGUGAAAUGCGUAGAUAUGCGGAGGAACACCUGAGGCGAAGGCGGCAUCCUGGAUCGACACUGACGCUGAGGCCCGAAAUCGUGGGGAGCAAACAGGAUUAGAGACCCUGGUAGUCCACGCCCUAAACGAUGUCUACUAGCCGUUGCGGGUAUCGACCCCUGCAGUGGCGCAGCGAACGCGAUAAGUAGACCGCCUGGGGAGUACGGCCGCAAGGUUAAAACUUAAAUGAAUUGACGGGG
rnacentral:rRNA from 1 species